CCUACGGGGGGCAGCAGUGGGGAAUAUUGGACAAUGGGGGCAACCCUGAUCCAGCAAUGCCGCGUGUGUGAAGAAGGCCUGCGGGUUGUAAAGCACUUUCAGUAGGGAAGAAAAGCUCGGAGUUAAUACCUCCGGGUCUUGACGUUACCUACAGAAGAAGCACCGGCUAACUCCGUGCCAGCAGCCGCGGUAAUACGGAGGGUGCAAGCGUUAAUCGGAAGUACUGGGCGGAUCAGACACGCAGGCGGUGAAAGCCCGGGGCUUAACCUGGGAACUGCAUUCGAUACUGUCUGGCUAGAGUAUGGGAGAGGGAAGCGGAAUUUCCGGUGUAGCGGUGAAAUGCGUAGAUAUCGGAAGGAACAUCAAUGGCGAAGGCAGCUUCCUGGCCCAAUACUGACGCUCAGGUGCGAAAGCGUGGGGAUCAAACAGGAUUAGAUACCCCAGUAGUC
rnacentral:rRNA from 1 species